rnacentral:rRNA from 1 species
UACGAAGGGGGCGAGCGUUGUUCGGAUUUACUGGGCGUAAAGGGCGCGUAGGCGGCCUGCUAAGUCGGACGUGAAAUCCCUCGGCUCAACCGGGGAACUGCGUCCGAUACUGGUGGGCUCGAAUCCGGGAGAGGGAUGUGGAAUUCCAGGUGUAGCGGUGAAAUGCGUAGAUAUCUGGAGGAACACCGGUGGCGAAGGCGGCAUCCUGGACCGGUAUUGACGCUGAUGCGCGAAAGCCAGGGGAGCAAACGGG